AUUCUUUUAUUUUUAGCUGCUUUCGGCUUCCCACUUCUCGCGCAACGCCCGCUGCGGCCGCGUGGUUGCGGGCAGGUCGAGCCGAGGGCCGUAGGAGACGGCUGUUAGGGAUCGGACCCACGCGAGGAGAGGGCGCGGGACUGCUCUGUUCCUCCGCUGUGCCUGCGGCUCUCACGGCUCGGACGGGAAUGGGGGACGCGGUUUGGAUGGGGCCCUGGGCAGCCUGGUCCGGUGGGAGGCAGCCCUGUCCACAGCAGGGGGUUGGAGAUUAUCAUCUUUGAGUUAUCUGUAGGAAACAUCAAAGUAUCUUCUAUCAUGGACGAGUCAAAUGAACACAAAGCAAUGGGCACAGGAAAGUGUUUCAAAUUAGCAUCCCGCUGGCAGAAGCGGUUGCAACGUGAAUUCCUUUCUAGCCGGCCUAGCAGCAGCCACCAAGCAGAAACCAACUGGAAUAAAUGCUUCUGCUCCUGAGCAAGCUGGAAGCAGACCUGGGAGCAGGAAUUAGAUGAUAUUCUACACCAGCACAGAAUAAACUGUGUGAGAAUGAGAGAAAAUGGGAUCGGUGAAUGAAAAGGGUUAAUAUAAUGAGUAAAGAAAAAAAAUGGAUAUCCUGGAAAUUCCAUAAUUCAAGCUCUUAGUUACUUCAGAGCAAGGUGGUACUCAGAAUUAUUUGUUUUCUGAAUUUAAAUUGACUUUUUAUGUGCAACAGUGGAAAUUAAUGGUUUCCGCUGUUGUUGUCGAUUGUCAUCUGAAGUCAGUUGUGCCAUUACUGGCUUUGCAAGACUGUUCUGUCCAUCAGCUAUUUGAAAAGGGGAUGCUGCCCUUUUUUCUUCUCCACCUUGUUGUUCAUCCAGCAAACUGCACAACUGAUUGCCAGUGGCUGCUGAAAAGCCAAGGUCUGUUUGAAAAAUUUUGAAGGUUGUGGGAGGACUGAAGUUUGUCCCUUCCACUAUCAUCUCUACCUGCUGAAAAGCAGAAGAUGCUUCUUUUGUUUACUACAUGGGUGCCCCAAGCCAUGCCUCCCUCUGGAAGAGCCUCUCAUCUAUACAAAACUGAGGGAAUCUGGAACAGUUCCCAGCUCCAAGGAUUUUGUUUUGUGCAUUGAUUGAUAUCAAGUGGUUGCAAUUUACAUUCUUUACCUGCACUAGAGGCUGUCCUCACAGAGAUGCCUUCAACAGCCAAAUGCAUUCAUAACCUUUGCAGUGUUCAAAAGGACUGUCACAAUAGUUGUGUUCAUGCUUACAUUCAUGAUACAACAUUUACUGAAGAAUAAAUUAAAUUGAUAAAGAUAGGAAAAUGAUAUUCUGGUUGAGUUACUAAACACUUGUAAUUAAGUAUGGAUAUCAUGCACAAGGUAUUAAUAUUGUGACUUUAGGGAAUCAAGUUUCUUAGUCCAGUUUUUCUUGAUAAUCUUAGUCUUAAAACUUCCCAGGAAGGUGAGGGGAGAGUACAAAUUGUCUAUGUGGAGAACAAUGCAUAUGGAAAAGUUGUGUGAGUUUGCAUACAUUGGAAGCUUGGCAUUAGAGAAUAGCCUUGUUCUCCAUCCUCAGCUCCAGCUUUGCUUCUCUCAGUUUUUGUCAGUCUCCGAUUGCUUUUUGCACCAAUUACAGUGAUAAAGUCAGUAGAAGAAGAAUACUCUAUUGAAUAAAAUAUUUUAAGGGUACUGUGACCUGCUAAACAUCAAUAUUGCUAAGACUGAGAGACUAUUUUUAAUAAAUUGCUUACCAGGAUUUUUUAAAUCUAAAUAAAUUGAAAUAUCUUUAUUUUGUGAAGGUACACACAUAUAUAUAAAGGCAUUUGAUUUUAUGGUAGUAAAUUGUUCCAAAAGAUUUACACCUGAG
rnacentral:lncRNA from 7 species